UACGUAGGGGGCAAGCGUUGUCCGGAAUUAUUGGGCGUAAAGAGCGUGUAGGCGGUCCGGUAAGUCCGCUGUGAAAGUCCAGGGCUCAACCCUGGAAUGCCGGUGGAUACUGCCGGGCUAGAGUCCGGAAGAGGCGAGUGGAAUUCCUGGUGUAGCGGUGAAAUGCGCAGAUAUCAGGAGGAACACCAGCGGCGAAGGCGGUGCUCUGGGCCGGAACUGACACUGAGGAGCGAAAGCGUGGGUAGCAAACAGG
rnacentral:rRNA from 1 species